CUCUCUCUCUCUCUCUCUCCCGCGGCUGAACCCUCCUCCCCGUUUUCAUUUUUUCGCCGGAACUUCAGACAGCGAGAACUUCGCCGUCCGACCACCGUUUCAGGCGCCGUUUCUUGCAAAAGCUUCCUCUCUUCCUCCUCUACCCAGCCCACCCCUUUUCUCCGAUCGAAAACCCGGCGAACGGCGGUGGCAACGACGGGAAAAACGGCCGAAAUUGCCGACGUCACCGGCGACGUUUCCGGCCGUCGCGAGCUGCGCUGUCACUUGGAACAGGUACUCCGACUACGCAUACGCAGCAGGCGGGACCCUCUCAGGGUCAAGCAGCGUGGGACUACUUCCAGUAGUUGACUGAGCUCCGCAGCAGAGCCGGAUCGUGAGCUUCCGAGCCUUGAGCCAUCGUAGGACUCUUUCUUCCUGUUAUUUCCUUUGUACUCUGUUUUGUUGAAAUUGAAGUCCUUAGACAUGCUCUGUUAUCGCCCUGUUAGGGUUUGAAUUGUGAGGCCGGAGGCC